UAAUACGUAGGGGGCGAGCGUUGUCCGAAGUUACUGGGCGUAAAGCGCGCGUAGGCGGUUCUUUAAGUCUGGUGUGAAAGGUUCAGGGCUCAACCCGAACAGUGCACUGGAUACUGGAGGACUUGAGUUAGGGAGAGGGUAGUGGAAUUCCUGGUGUAGCGGUGAAAUGCGUAGAUAUCAGGAGGAACACCGAUGGCGAAGGCAGCUACCUGGCCCUAUACUGACGCUGAGGUGCGAAAGCGUGGGGAGCGAACGGGAUUAGAUACCCCGGUAGUCCACGCCGUAAACGAUGAGUGCUAGGUGUCAGGGGUAUCGACCCCUCUGGUGCCGCCGCUAACGCAAUAAGCACUCCGCCUGGGGAGUACGGCCGCAAGGUUG
rnacentral:rRNA from 1 species